GGACAUUAUUGCAGGAUGGGUUCCACAUCUGAGAAACGUUGUUUCAAAUUGACUUCAUGCAAAGCAAACUCUACAAGUCAAAAUAUUCAUGCAUAUGGAAUAAUGCUCAUGGCCGCUUUGACUACAGUGUUACUCAUUAUUUACAACUGCUCUGAUCAAGUUAUCACCACUCGAGAGAGGAGACUGGCCAAAUCUAGGGAAGCAGGGGCAAGAAGUGCAAGGGAAACAGCAAGAGCACGUCAAAGGUGGAAAGUUGCAAAAGAUGCUGCUAAGAAACAUGCAAGUGGAUUGCAAACUCAUCUCUCACGGACUUUUUCUCGUAAAAAAUAUGGAAAAUAUCCUGAACAAUUUAAGAUUUUGAAUCAAGAUAAAUCUGAGAUGGAAGUUGAUUUAUAUCCGCCUUCACACUCGAGUAAUUUUUCUAUUUCUACAUCUCUG
rnacentral:misc_RNA from 1 species